rnacentral:misc_RNA from 1 species
GUAAAACGACUGUACUGUUGUAGCAGUUUAUUAUGAGGGUUGUUUUUUUUCUUCAUCUGUUUGAACUAUUGUUCGAUAGUUGUCCCGUUGAUAAAUUUUGUAAUGACAUCGUGAGUAAUAAAAUGUACAGUACUGUAUGAGGUAUUUCUUUACAACCCCAAUCAAAAGAAUUUUUUCGUUCGUGUAUGAACCCUGGAAACUAUUAUUGCGCAGUAAAAAAGAAAACGAAACCGGGUAGAAUGUAAUACGACGGAAUUUUUGUGAAUUCUUCAUGUCUGCGUUCGUGGGAAUUACUGGUCUUGGGUGUAAAAUAAAUUAAAUGCUUUGUGUUUUUACAAUUAAUUUUCUGUUGGAUGAAAUAACGGUAUUCUGGUGUCGUGUGUAUAUACAAAGGUGUGAACCCGGUGACUAAAACACAGCCUGGGGGGCACGUAGUGUACACCAUUACACUUCAUUGCAUUAACUGUGUUUUUAACAUUACAACUUCUCUGCAUAACGGCAAGUCACUAUUUAAUUAAUUAAUAGAAAGAACACAAAUGAAAUAUUUUAUGUUUGCAUUUUGGUAUUUCGUUUUCUCAUUCAUAGCGAUUAAGGGGGAUAACUCUAUUUGAAUAUGAAACCAUGUGUUGAGCUAAUGGACGCCAUACCCCGUAUUUACAAGUAGCUUUCAAAGUAUAACUUGAUUAAAUGAAAUUUAGCAAUAAGGUAUUAAUAAAAUAUAAAAGGUUUGGUAAAAUAUUAUACUUAGUUCUACCAGGCAGAACCACGGAGGUUGGUGUUGCAAUUAAAUUUACACUAUGUAAAAUUACGAUACGUAAUGAUACACCGACGAAUACGGAAGAGACCAAACAGCCACAAAACACAGAUGUAUUUUUUAAAAUUGCUUAAAAUAUAUAUGUUAAGCAAAUUUAAUAACUUUAAUUACUCUUUUGACUUUCUACAUCGAUAUUCUGAAAGUAUAUACUUAAUACGAUGACUUCCUUAAUCAGUGGUCAUACUUUCACUAUAGUAAUCAUCGAUUGAAAAUCGGCUUAUCCCCCAAUUCGGCUAGUCUAAAGAUAUUCCUUGAAUUUUGUCUAAAAAUAAACAAUUUAGCCUAUGCCCCACAUCGACAUAUGCCCCGAAAAAUACCGUAUAUACCCCCAAAAAUAUGAUAGUUGGUGAGCAAUUUAGCUCAUUGGCUUUUAAUUAUAAUCAAUUUUGAAUUGUAGUAUCCGUAUCAGUUACAUGCUGUGUUGGUGCAUGAAGGACAGGCUGCUGCCGGCCAUUAUUGGGCCUACAUUUAUGACUCCAUGAAUGAGAAGUGGCUUAAAUUUAAUGACAUUGCUGUGACCUGUACAUCAUGGGAUGACUUGGUGAAGGAGAGUGUUGGAGGAUAUCAUAAUGCUAGUGCAUAUUGCUUAAUGUAUGUGCAGCAGUCAAAUAUGGAACCCUAUACAGAGCCCCCUACAGACUUUCCACCACAGUCUUAUAUAGAAAAACUUCCAGAAGAUUUAAAAGAGUUUGUUGUUCAGGACAAUAAAAAAUUUGCUCAGGAGAUGCUAGAUUGGGACGAAGCACAGGCUAGAAAACCAGUUACUCCCACCGGAGAAUCCAGAAAUAAAGAAGGAGGGGAUGGAGAUGCGAAACAAGAAAGAGCAGUACUCAAAAAUCCUUCUAGUCAAACAGCAAGCACACAAACUCCCAUUGUAAUCAAAUCAAACCUUCCAGUUCAGCAUGCAGAGAUGCUUGUUGAGGAAACCAGGAAGCAGUUGUCACUUGUAUUAAAACUUGAAAAUUACUUAAUGAAAGGACCAGAGACUAUUCUAAAGUUGGCUAUCGAGAAGGAGCUGAAACACAUGGAUCAAAUUUUUUUGAGCCUUGCUCAAAAAGUCCCUCGUGAAGACCCUCGCCUGUUAUAUCCAGUUGUGUACCUCAGGUGUUGUACUGCACCAGCAAGAGUCAUAGAUCAAUUUUUACAUGAGCAAUUUUCUUACUGUCCACUUGAUGGGGAUAAAAGAGCUGAAGAAGUUAAAAAAGCUGCAAUAAACUGGUUGAAAGUUCAGCAUCAAGUUUCUGAUGGUGAUGUACUGGAAAAAAAUACCCAGAACUGGCAUGAAAAAUACAAUCAAUUUAGGAAAAUUGCUUUCCUGUUUGUUAGAGGACUCCAGCUCUUCCACAAUGAAAGCAUCUUAAUGAUAUGGCUACUAGUCAGUUUCAAUCUAAAGAUGACAUUCGAGAUAGCUUAAAGUUGAUGAAUGACUUCGUGGUUCCCUGUCUUCCUUUACUUCUAACCUCAAGUUAUCAAGAUGAUAUCAGUGCAGGAGAAGAAAUGAGAGAAAAGUGGUGCUCGUUUUUGGGACAAGAAAUAUGCGAGGAUAAAAUUGAAAAGCUUCAGGAUUUAAUGUCAAAGUUGUUCGAUCCUCCAACAGAGAGUAAGAGUGCUCAGAUUGCAGCUGUUACAUCAAAAGACUUGAAAGACCUUUAUAAAAACUAUAUGGAUGUCAUGAACAUUGCCUAUAACUCAGGAUAUAUUGAGAGAGCUAUCAACAGCAGUUAAAAAGUUAACAUUAGAAUAUAGCUGUAUUCUUCUUUCCUUAUCUUUUGAAUUUAAUCAGCUAGUUAGAAAAAAAGUUGUACAUGAACAAGGUAUAGGAGUGAUUACCAUUUUGAAUUUACACCCAUGAUUGGACAAAAUAUACAAGAUUUAAUGGCUCUUAUAACAUUUACAACAUUUAGAGGGAAGUAAUUGGAUGUGAUCGUCCUGAUUAAUUUUUUUUCAAUUUUUUAUUCUUUUGAAUCACUGUGCUUGUUUCAACCAAACAAAGCACUAAGUUUGUAAUUUUAACAUCUAAAAUUCUGUUGACGUUGAUGCAAACUCAUUAUCACAUCAGUACCAUAUUUAUGUACAUAGAAUGUGAAUUGUUAAUAAAAGAGUUCUGUUU